GAUGAACGCUGGCGGCGUGCCUAAUACAUGCAAGUCGAGCGAACAGACGAGGAGCUUGCUCCUUUGACGUUAGCGGCGGACGGGUGAGUAACACGUGUAUAACCUACCUAUAAUACUGGGAUAACUUCGGGAAACCGGAGCUAAUACCGGAUAAUAUAUUGAACCGCAUGGUGCAAUAGUGAAAGACGGCUUUGCUGUCACGUAUAGAUGGAUCCGCGCCGCAUUAGCUAGUUGGUAAGGUAACGGCUUACCAAGGCAACGAUGCGUAGCCGAGCUGAGAGGGUGAUCGGCCACCCUGGAACUGAGACACGGUCCAGACUCCUACGGGAGGCAGCAGUAGGGAAUCUUCCGCAAUGGGCGAAAGCUUGACGGAGCAACGCCGCGUGAGUGAUGAAGGUCUUCGGAUCGUAAAACUCUGUUAUUAGGGAAGAACAAAUGUGUAAGUAACUAUGCACGUCUUGACGGUACCUAAUCAGAAAGCCACGGCUAACUACGUG
rnacentral:rRNA from 1 species